rnacentral:rRNA from 1 species
AUUAAGUUUAAUUUAAUAUAGGAUCUGCUCAAUGAUUUAUUAAAUAGCUGCAGUAUUUUGACUGUGCAAAGGUAGCAUAAUAAUUAGUCUUUUAAUUGAGGACUUGUAUGAAAGAUUUGAUGAGAAAUAAACUUUAUUAUUUAUAUAAUUAAAAUUUUAUUUUUAAGUAAAAAAGCUUAAAUUAUUUAAAGGGACGAUAAGACCCUAUAAAACUUUAUAAAUAUUAAUUUUAAUUUUUUUGGUUUAUAAAUAUUUUAAUUUUAAUAUUUAUUUUAUUGGGGUGAUAAAAAAAAAUAUUGAACUUUUUUUAAAAUUUAACAUUAUUUUAUGAAUAUUUGAAUUAAAAUUUUUAAUUAUAGGAAAAAGUUACUUUAGGGAUAACAGCGUAAUUAAUUUUUUAAGUUCAAAUUUAAAAAUUAGUUUGCGACCUCGAUGUUGAAUUAAGAUUAAUCUUAGGUGCAAAAUUUUAAGUAUUAGGUCUGUUCGACCUUUAAAUUCUUACGUGA